CGACCGGCUUCGUUCAGGCAGGAGCUCAGCAGAGCUUCCAGUGCGGCUGACGGUUUCAGACCAGCAGCAGAUUUUUGUCAGAAAGGAAGAGAACCGGCAGAAAGAACAUUUCUACCGAGAGCCUCCUUCCUCCAGGACAAACAACCGGGAUGCUCCGGCCUUUCCAACCGCAGCCGCUCCUCCUCCGUGACGCUGCAGCUCUGCGUCUCCACGUGAGGAAGGAGUUUUGGGAAACCUCUGAUUCUUUUCUCAUCCUUCUCAUCUUUUCUUUCAACAGAUUCCUCCUUAAAAAUGUUUUGCACCGAUGGACCUGCUGCUUUAGGUCACCUGUGCCGCUCACUACUGAUGAAGCUGCAGAGCAGCAUGUUUAGCCACGCUGUCGCUGCAGCUUCUGAGAACAAAGACCUUCAUCCUCCUGAACCAGAGUCUUCAUCUUCUGCUUGAUCUUCUGACAGUUUCUCUUUGGAGCUGAGCAUAAAGACGUCCGGGUCACACGCCCUGCUUCCUCACGGAGAUUCAGACUCUGAUAAAGAAACCGUUUAUGGAGAACAGAAACCUCUCUUCCUUCAGUCUUUAUCCUGAAGCUCCGAUCCAGGGGAACCGCCAUCGUUUCUGAAUGACAGAGAACUUCAGAUCAGAUCACGUCUGCAGAAAGACAAGCUGGAAAAUAUGAACGUCUUUAUUCAUCCAACCAAAAACUGGAGAAUGAAGCUGAAAAACAGCAGCAGACCAAAAUAUUAAAGGACAGUGAUGAAUGAUGGGAUGCCAGGUUGUGGUUUUAGAUGAGAAACAGUUCAGUGAAUAUUUUUAGGUGAGAAAUCUGCACAAAACACAAGUUAAGCCUGAGCUUCUUUCUGGGCGUGUCCCAACAUCUGUCAAUCAUGUAAGCCCCGCCCCCUGCCUGUAAACCCCUGUUUUACCUCCAA